rnacentral:rRNA from 1 species
GACGAACGCUGGCGGCGUGCUUAACACAUGCAAGUCGAACGGAGCGAAUGAAAGCUUGCUUUUAUGAGCUUAGUGGCAAACGGGUGAGUAACACGUAGACAACCUGCCGACAGGAUGGGGACAACAUUCCGAAAGGAAUGCUAAUACCGAAUGAAGCGGAGGAGAGGCAUCUCUCCUCCGUGAAAGAUGGCCUCUAUUUAUAAGCUAUCACCUGUCGAUGGGUCUGCGUCUGAUUAGCUGGUUGGUGAGGUAACGGCUCACCAAGGCGACGAUCAGUAGCCGGUCUGAGAGGAUGAACGGCCACAUUGGGACUGAGACACGGCCCAGACUCCUACGGGAGGCAGCAGUGGGGAAUCUUCCGCAAUGGGCGCAAGCCUGACGGAGCAACGCCGCGUGAGUGAAGAAGGUCUUCGGAUCGUAAAGCUCUGUUGACGGGGACGAACGUGCGUGAUGCGAAUAGUGUCAUGCAAUGACG